CGCAUCUGUGCAUGCAGCAUAUCAAUAAGCGGAGGAAAAGAAACUAACAAGGAUUCCCCUAGUAACGGCGAGUGAAGCGGGAAGAGCUCAAAUUUGAAAUCUUAAAGGGUUUCCCUUUACGAAUUGUAGUUUAAAGAAGUGUUUUCUGUUGAGGUUUUGGUAAAAGUUCUUUGGAAUAGGACAUCAUAGAGGGUGAGAAUCCCGUAUUUGACCUUUACUUUCAACUUUGUGAUACACUUUCAAAGAGUCGGAUUGUUUGGGAAUGCAGUCCAAAAUGGGUGGUAAAUUUCAUCUAAAGCUAAAUAUUGGCGAGAGACCGAUAGCGAACAAGUACCGUGAGGGAAAGAUGAAAAGAACUUUGAAAAGAGAGUUAAACAGUACGUGAAAUUGUCAAAAGGGAAGCGUUUGACACCAGUGUUGUUUUUCUGAAAAUCAAUUAAAGAACUGUUUAUGCUAAGCUGUUUAGACUUUAUCAGCUAUCUGUUUAGUUUUGAGCUUUUCUUUAAUGCACUUUUCAGUUAACAAGUCAACAUCAAUUUCUUUUGCUGUAAAAAAGCUUGAGGAAGGUGGCUUGAGAUUCGUCUUAAGUGUUUAUAGCCUCUUGCCUAUGCAGUCGGAGAGAUUGAGGUCUGCAGCGUAGAUCCUUCGGGGCUAAAUGCAUUUGUGCUGAGUUAUAGCAUUUUAUAGACAACUUGUUGACUAUGAUUUGUCUUGUAGCUUACUCGCUUAUGUUAUUUUACCUACGCUUAGGAUGUUGAGUCAUCACACAUCUC
rnacentral:rRNA from 1 species